rnacentral:rRNA from 1 species
GAUGAACGCUGGCGGCGUGCCUAAUACAUGCAAGUCGAGCGAACAGACGAGAGUGCUUGCACUCUCUGACGUUAGCGGCGGACGGGUGAGUAACACGUGGGUAACCUACCUAUAAGACUGGGAUAACUUCGGGAAACCGGAGCUAAUACCGGAUAAUAUUUAGCUUCGCAUGAAGAAAUAGUGAAAGACGGUUCUGCUGUCACUUAUAGAUGGACCCGCGGUGUAUUAGCUAGUUGGUGAGGUAACGGCUCACCAAGGCAACGAUGCAUAGCCGACCUGAGAGGGUGAUCGGCCACACUGGAACUGAGACACGGUCCAGACUCCUACGGGAGGCAGCAGUAGGGAAUCUUCCGCAAUGGACGAAAGUCUGACGGAGCAAUGCCGCGUGAGUGAAGAAGGUUUUCGGAUCGUAAAACUCUGUUGUAAGGGAAGAACAAGUACGUUAGUAACUGAACGUACCUUGACGGUACCUUACCAGAAAGCCACGGCUAACUACGUG